rnacentral:rRNA from 1 species
AUUGUUGGCCGGUAUGAAUGGCAUCACGAAGGCCCCACUGUCUUAAGAGGACUCUCCAUGAAAUUGAAUUCGUAGUGAAGAUGCUACGUCCAUAUUGUAAGACGAAAAGACCCCAUUGAGCUUUACUAAAGACUUGUAUGGCUCGAAAUGACUUAAAUAAAAAGUUUAGAUAAUGUGGGAUCCGUUUUUGGUUAAUGAAACACCACUCUUUUAUUUUAAGAGAGCUAACCUUGUAGGGAGAAUGCAAGUUGGAUAGUUUGGUUGGGGCGACCACCUUUUAAAAGGUAACGAAGGUGAGCUUAAGGUCCGUAGUUAAUAGCUAGUGGCCUGACUGCAAGGGGGACAUCCCGAGCAGACACUGGUAAUCUCUCAGUGGGUUAUAGUGACCCGUCAUCUUAGAGUGGAAUAGUUGACGAUCAACAAUAAAA